GAUGAACGCUAGCGGGAGGCCUAACACAUGCAAGCCGAGCGGUAUUGUUUCUUCGGAAAUGAGAGAGCGGCGUACGGGUGCGUAACACGUGUGCAACCUGCCUUUAUCUGGGGGAUAGCCUUUCGAAAGGAAGAUUAAUACUCCAUAAUAUAUUGAACGGCAUCGUUUAAUAUUGAAAGCUCCGGCGGAUAGAGAUGGGCACGCGCAAGAUUAGCUAGUUGGUGAGGUAACGGCUCACCAAGGCGAUGAUCUUUAGGGGGCCUGAGAGGGUGAUCCCCCACACUGGUACUGAGACACGGACCAGACUCCUACGGGAGGCAGCAGUGAGGAAUAUUGGUCAAUGGGUGCAAGCCUGAACCAGCCAUCCCGCGUGAAGGACGACUGCCCUAUGGGUUGUAAACUUCUUCUGUAUAGGGAUAAACCUACCCUCGAGAGGGUAGCUGAAGGUACUAUACGAAUAAGCACCGGCUAACUCCGUG
rnacentral:rRNA from 1 species